rnacentral:tRNA from 1 species
AGUUUUAUAUUCAUAUCAUGAUAUUAAAUUGCAAAUUUAAAGGAAUAGUUAAUAAUUAUUAAGACUU